GGCGCGAGGGGUCAGGGGUCACGGGGUGGGGGUGGGGAAGGCUCUUGGGAACUCAGAGAGGAGGAGUCUGGAGACCAGUUGGACACUGGGGUCCCAUCAGCAGGGGCCCCAUGGGGUCUCAGAGACCUUGGUGGAGCACCCCUCCUCCACCUGUGUUCCCACCAGUGUGUACCCCAAGGUCAGAGCUUGGCAAAUAAAGUCUCCUCCCUCUAGUCUGCCCGGGGCUGGAGUCCUGCGCAGAAGCCCACUCCCUGGAGAGAAGCCUGCAAGUCCAGGGAGACUGUGAGCACCCCAGGGCCCGGCAAGGUCUGACUUUGGGUUUCUGACGUGGGUUGCCUUGCUUCACUUUUUAAAACUUCCACUGCUCCCCACCAGGGACCUGUCUCCGGCUAGCAUGGGUCAGGCUUCAGAGAUAAAUUUAAACCCAGGCGAUCAGCACGCAUUCACAGGAAACAGGCUUUCACUGCAAUACAAAGUAAGGAGCUGGGGUUGGAGGAGCUGAGAGCCGAGAGAGCGCGGCUCUGACCCAGGCCAGCCGGUGCAUCCCUACCGGGAUAGUGAGAGCAGACAGGAAGGGGCUGCUCCCGGACUGGGGACACACAGGGCUGCUGGAGAGGUGCUGGCUUGGUUCAGAGAGAGCUCCGCAGGCUCUAAGGGUUUGCUGCUGCACGCCAGCACGUGGUUAACCAUUAUCUGGAUUCCACAGCUGCUCAGGCUCAGGUCCCCUCUGCCCAAGCCGCCAGGGCAUUCUUCAUGACUGUUUCUCUUUGGGGAGCUUCAGUCUUGGGAGACUGUGCUGGACCCCAUGGCGACCACAGGGUUAGGGCCCUGACCAGAGACUCCAAGUACGGCUGAAUGGCCCUAUAAAACUCUAUCUUGGUGCCCCCCCCCCUGCCUGGAAGCGGAUGAAGUGGGUGAAGUGAACUCGGGGCCUCAGCUUUGUUUUGCCAACCUUUAGACUGGCACUCCCUACACGGUUAGCACGCCUCGAUGACUAACGUGCAGCGCUGAGGAGGCGCUGGGCCAGGUUUUAAGGGAAUAAAGGGCACAACACAAAGGGCAAGAUAUGUUCUGCCGCUAGUUAUCUCUUGGAUAUUCACAGGUGCCAUGCAGGGGGAAGUCCACAGGCCUCAGCGUCCCCCAGGUUUCAAGGUCAAAGGAAAGUCAAGCUGGAGAAGAAAGGGCAGGGUGGGAAGGUGGGGGGCAAGGAGGGUCCUCAAAGCUGUAGGGAGAGGGGCUCCAGGCAGGAGUGGCCAGCUGUGUCCAUGCCCCUGAGACCCCAGGAACUGAAAUGAUGGCGGACAUGCCCACUGUUCUUGGGAAUGGGGAGGAAGAGUGUGAAGGGGUCUAGAGACAGAGAGAAGAGAGGCCAUCUUGAGGGGCCGGGAGGGCAAAGAGCAUUUUCAUUGCUUAAAAAAGAUCCAAGGUGUACAAGGAGACAGUUUCCAGAAGUGCUGUCAUGCCAGCCAGAGAAUGGAGCAGUGUCCCUGUGGCUGCCUCCUCCCUGGGCAGCCGUAGUCCAGACCAAGCCCGCUGCUCUAGGCCAGAUGCAUUGUCUUUGCAUACAGGGACCAAUCUCCUCGUCCUUCAACCUCUGCUGUGUGCCUUCUCCCACAGCUGUGUCCAGGGCAGUCCUGCCCGCUGUGCCCCGGAGCUCAGGCCUGGCUUGCUCUGAGGCAGCAGGCUGCACUGCUGUCCUAGGUGAGAGUCAAGGUUGUUUUCUAGGUUCUCCUGUGACAGAGAAUAUGGGUCAAUAUCUUUAGAUUGGUUUCCUCCAAAAAGUAACCUGGGUACUGAAUAAUGCUUUUGUUUUUGUUUUUGCUUUUGCUUUUUUUUUUUUUUUUUUCUUUUUUCUUUUCUGAAACCUAGUCUAGCUAUGCAGUUCAAGCUGGCCUUGAACUCACUAGGUAGCCCAGGCUGGCCUUAGACUCAUGGCAAUCCUCCUGCCUCAGCCUCCUCAGUGCUGAGAUUUCAGACCUGUACUGUGGUACUGAGGUCUCCAAUUUUAAGAAAAAAGGAUUUCUAUCCCCUUUCUCCACUCCAGCUCAUCCCGAUUCAUCCGGCAUGGCCAGUUCCCUCCUGCCCGCUGGAUGCAGAGUGCUGUGUUGUCUAUCAGGUUUUUCCCCUUCAGUAAUUAACACGCGCAGGUCCAUGUCACAGUCACAGCCUUCUUUCUCUGUUACCCCGCCUGCUACCAGCUCUGCCCCCACCUCUACCACCCCGCAGCAGAAAUGAAGGAGGAGGAGAGAGAGCAGAGUGGUGACUUCAUAGCAUGGCCUGCUUCUAGGAGGACACCUUGGCCCUACUGAGGGUCUCACUGAGUGUCUCUCCCAUGUGGUCCCCCCAUUCAGCAGGGCAUCCCCUGAUGUCCUUCAGCCAACCCCAUAUGAGCCCACUAAGCUCACUGUCCUUCUAGAAGACCCUCUGGGUCAAGCCCUGCUGCCCCACCAGGCCACCCUGAGGGUAGAGGGAACACAGGCACCCAUGCUGUGCCCAGCUGGGAGUGUGACCCUGUUUCUGCACCACAGUCCAGCUCCCUCCAGGGACACAGACAAGGGGCUCAGGAAGGCCCUGUCCCUCUGCAGGGGUGAGGAGAAGGUGACCUUGGCCCUCAGGAUGGCCUCCAGAGACACUGCUGCCCCUCCAGCCUCUGCCCUUGUGUUCUGAGAAGGUGCCCACAGAGUGACCAGGCUCCCACAGUUUCUUUUUGGCCAUCAGGGCCACCUGGUCAUGCAGGAGGAAAUGUUGGAGACGUGGAAAUCUUCACUGUCAGCCACCCCGCUGCUGCCAGAUUCUUCACCAAGGUGCUUUGGAAUAUUUCACACUGGGCCCAGGGAAAGAGCGAUGUAGGUGGUGGGGUGUGGCGGAGCUCCCUGGAGAAGAGGCCGGGACCUGUCAGUUACAGGACUCCAGGGCCACACCAGGACCCGGUAUGGAGAGCUUCUCCGGAGCCCCGUGAGAUGUGGACAACGUGAAGAUCAGGCCCAGGAGGAGCUCACCACGGUCCCCGGAUGGAAGGAAGGAGGAACUCUGCGAUCCCUUGAAGAACUCAGGCAGCCUUGGCUGGUCACCAGAGGCCUUCGUUACAGUGCAGUGCCCCCGAGGAGCCCAGCAUGCCUCAGCUUCCUGGACAGCCACCUCAGGCAGCCCUGAGUCCCACUGGGCAUCACAGACAGCGCAGGCUCCGCAGGAGUCCAGUUCAUCAUGGCCAGUUCUGUACCUCAGAUGAAGGACAAGAGGCUAGAAACUAUCCAGACAAACACUGUGGUUUAAAAAGAGAAGUGAAGGAAACCAUCUUGGAGAGGUCCUUCUCCCCUCAACAGAGCCAAACUGGGAUUCUCACCCUCAGGAUGGACUCGGAAUGACAUCUGCUGUGCCAGCUGCUCCUACCGUGCAAAAGUGCAUUAAAGGUCUGUUAGUUAUUUACAAAGUGAGGAAGGUCUCGCAGGGUGAGAAGAACACCCAACUUUGUUUUGUAACCGAUUAGCAGAGAGCUUCCUGAGGGGUAGUAAUACAAUCCGUCUGCCUUCCAGGGAGGGAGAGGCCCUAAGGGAACACUUCCCCCAUCGGUGGUCCCAGAUACUCAGCAUAAAGUGCAGGAGCUUCCGAGGGGGCUCAGGCACCUAUGACCCAACCACUGGACAGAGCCAUUUCUGUGCUUACUAAUCAGGACCCCGAGGAGAGUGAGGAGAAAGGCUAAGAUUGUAGCUGUUGCAACUGGUAAUGCUUUAAACACACCCCAGUCAUCUAAGGAGAAACCUGUGGGGAAUGCAGGACAGGGCUGUUCCUGUGCCGUGCAAAGGAACAGCACACUGGGUAUGAGAUUGCACCCGGCCACCCCGCCCCGGCCUUGUGCCACGUGUGAGCUAGCUGUGGCGCCUGUCUCAUGGCACUGGCGGUUUGAUUGACCCCAGUCUCAGAGAGGGGCUGGGCCAGCCAGGGCCCUCAUUUCCUGCCCUGACAACUGCAGAGGCCGAAGGGUACCCACAGUGCCCCGAUUCAUGGGCGUCACCAUCUCCUCUGAGGAACUCUGGUAAACUCAGACAUCAUGGGGGAGCCAGCCAGCCACUUGCUGAUCCAACUUGACUUCCUUCCCUGGGAAACUCUCCUCUAGGUCUGUACCUGUAACUGAGGUCAGAGGGACCCCAGUCAGAGAUCCUCUACCCCUUCUCUGAUGUGUCCGUUUGAAGCUUAGAUGCUGAACCGUGAGUUUCUAACAGUCGCGUAGUGAGCUACGCCCUCAACAGGAAGAGAUUUAUUAACAACAUUGGGAUUGUAAGAUUGCAUUGUAAGACUGAAAGAUGCAGCCAAUCUCCUAAUCAAAACAGUGUGCAGCUCAGGAAAAGGCACCAAAAGGCCUCCAGCCUCUAAGCCAGAGUUCUCAAAUACAGCCUCCUGAACCCAGGACAGUCCCCUGGCAUUAAUGAAGCCCUCGGGGGAAUCCUGGAUGGCAGAGGACCUCUGCCCCACGAACGAGGCUGUCAUUCCAGGCUGUCCCAGAGUGGCAGAUCCCUGGACAAUUCUUUCCCACGUUGCAGGGGACACUCAUGGUUCUUAGUCUGAUAUUUAAAAGAUAUGCUUCACCACCCCCACAUCCACUGGCCUUUGAAUGGAAAUGUCCCGUGACAAGAGAAAAACAGUACCCUUGGACAGUUCUCUCAUAGGGGUUUAGAGACAGCCCUUACUUUUUUGCUGAGGCACUAGAAAAAGACUCGAGGCGCCUAAAGCUAGGACAGGAACCAUCCUACAGUAUGCAGAUGACACUCUGGUUCACAGCCUAACUUAGAAACUAUCUAACCAUAACACUACAUGCUCAUAGCCUUUAACUAAGAACGGAUCUAAAGUCUCCAAAGAAAAGGCUCAGAUAGCCCUCCAAGAAGUCAAUAUCUGGGAGAUAUUCUUACACCUGGGGAAUAACAACUGUUUAGGGGUCACAACAGGGCCUCCUGUCACCAAAGGACAGCUUUGUUCCUUCCUGGGAAUGGCAGGCUUGUGUAGGUAAGAUCCGGCCACCGAAUUUUGGACUAAAGGCAAAGUGUUAUAUGAAGCAAUACAAGGCCGGAAUCUGUCCCCUUACCGUGGGCAGAAGUGAUUGGCAGUGCCUUUAGGGAAAUAAAUCAGGCCCUUACUCAGGCUCCAACUGGGAACCCCUGGCUUAAAAACCUUUUCCUUCCUUCCUUCUUUCCCCACAUAUCAGAAAAGGGAGGAAUUUCUUUGGGGAUGGGUGGUUCUUGACUCAAGGCUAGAGCAAGAAACCCACCCAGUGGCAGACUUUUCAGAGAAACUAUAUGGGGUGACUCUGGAUGACCACCUUGCCUGUGAGCAAUGGCAGCUACAGCUGUACUAGCAGAGGAAGCUGCAAAACUAAUUUUGGGACAGAGCGUUCUGGCACCGUAUCAGGUCAGAGCCAUUCUAGACAGAGGGUUACACGUGGCCAACAGGGGAAUGACUUACCAAGUGUCAGCCCAUUCUCUUAGGUACCCUGCAGUAAUUACAAAAAGUCGCCUUACUGUAAACCCAGCUUCUUUGAUGCCUACAGGUCCAGUUAGCCACUCUUGUGAACAUAUAGUCCCCCAGAUCUACGCAGGCAGGCAGGCAGAUAGACGUCAGUAAUGUGCCCCUCCGAGAUCCCCAGGAGGUGUGGCUCACUGAUGGAAGAGCUUUGGCAGGAAGGACAUCCAAAGGUAGCUGAUGCAGUUGUGAGUUCACUACAAAUCAGUGAAGCUAAUCACUCCCAGGAACCUCUGCUCGAAAGGCAGAACUAGCAGCUCUGAUUUGGACAUUGGUAUUAGGAAAAGACAGCAGCUUAAACAUCGAUACGGACUCCAGCUACGCCUUUCUGGUGGAACACGCCCAUGCUGCAACCUGGAAGAAAGACACUUUACUGGCAAAUAAUCAUCUGUAAAACACAGACAGAAAACUCUGCAGCUCCUGGAUGCAGUCCGUCUUCCCAACAGGUCACACUCAGGUACUAUAAAGGGCGCCAAAGGGACAUGUUUGAAGUCUCCUUGGAAAGUCCAGAGGCGGACAGUAGAGUAGGAAGGGGCAGCCCCAGGGCCCCCUAAGACUCUAGCCUUGCCCGGUGUGGCGGCUCGCGCCUGUAAUCCCAGCCCUUGGGAGGCUGAGGCAGGAAGAUCGUUGUGAGUUUGAGACCAGCCUGGACCACACGGAGAGACUCUUAUCCUGGAAAAGAAAGAUUGUGGCCUUAUUCUCGAUUCCUGAGGAACCAUUAAAAGCCAUCUCGGCCCCCCAGGAGGAUGAAUGGGCCUUAGGACAAGGAGGAAUGAAAAGGGCGCAUGGUAUUUCGGAAAGGAACUGGUCCUUCCCUAAGGAGUGCAGCGAAAGGCCACCCAAAGCCCUGGUGAUUCCUCCCGUGGGGAGAAAUGCUGCUCUGGAAAUGGCCACUCAGGUUUUUAUGGCCUGGGACCAGCUCCAACCGCCCAACAGGUCUGCAGAUCUUGCCCACUCUUGUCUACAAUAACCUGGGCAAGCCCAAACGCUCCUUUAUUAGAGCCUGUGCAGAGGAGAUGGCACACCCCGGGGAGGACUGGCAGGCAGACUUUACCCUCAUGCCUGCUGUGGAGGUUUUAAACAUUUGGUCUUAGCUGAUGCUUUCAGAGGCUGGAAGGAAGCCCAUCUUAUCAUUCAGAAAAGGCUGCGGGGUAGUCAAGGUGCCUCUGAGAGAAACCAUCCCUAGAUUUGGACUCCCUCAGUCUCUCCAGAAUGACAAUGGACUUCUUUUUACCUCCCAGAUAACCCAGGGAAAGGCAAAGCCUUUAGGAAGAAAGUACCCCCACACUCCUGCUGCUGGCCCCAAUCUUCUGGAAAGGUAGAGCGAGCCAACCAGACCCUUAAGCAAGCUCUGGACAAAUGUUGCCAAGAAACAGCUGCGUCCUGGCUCUGGUUGCUACCAGUGCUCAGGAGGGUCUCUAACAUGUCCCAAACUGGGCUAACUUUGAGUCCAUUUGUCUUGUUAUAUAAGUGCCAUUUCUGUCUGAUGUGACAGAGACCAGGGGCUCUCUCAAUGUCUCAUCAGUCUGGGCCACGUACAGCGAGGUAUCCAAAUGCACAGGAGCCCACCCUGGAGCCCGGGGGAGCACCGCAGGCUAGUUAGCGCCCACAUGGAAAGGUCCCUUUUCAGUGAUUGUGCAUUAAAGGAGGCAGAGACCCAUAACUAGAUUCAUCCUUCUAGAAUAAAGCCAGGCCCACCUGAACUGUCUAAAGAGUACAAUCACCCACAAGGAAAAGGCAACUCUUAUGAGCUCUGAAAGACUUGAAAUCUCUCCUCAGAAAGCAGAGCUCCAGUGCUGCUACAGAUAAGUAAACAAGAUCCUCUAAGGGUCACGGCCCUCAGGCUGUGGAGAACUUGUCUCCUGUCCCUGUGUAACAUACAUUGUUCUCCACAGGAAGAACGGAAACCUGACCUGCUCCUGGCCUAAUAGUAAAGUUUCUUUCUCCCAUCAAACAGGCAGCUCGAGUGUCAGUAACUCUUUUUCAUUAUUUUCUGCCAGUUUUUUCUUCCUUCAUCUCAGCCACGAGUCACAGCACCCCGAGGUAGAUGGAAAGCACAGAAUCCCAAGGAGGGAGGCUCUGCGGCCCCUUGCAGCUUGCAGAGGCUCUAGAAGACAGACCACAGCACUCCACAAAAAUAGAUGGGGUUUAUGUCUCCGGAGGGAAGUGAUCUAGGAGACAGGGUGUGGCAAAGCUGGCUGGAGAAGUGCCCGGACCAGUCAAGGACGAGAUCCCAGGACAGUACAGGACCUGGGUGCAGGGUUCCCCAGCUCCCACGAGAUGUGCAACAGAAAGACCACAAGGAACUCGCCAUCCACAAGGAACUCAUGAGUCCCCGUGACAGCCCGUGCUGCGUAUUCCAGACACAGCGAGUACUUCUCUCUUUUUUUUAAUCUUCUUCUUCUCAUGGUCUGCCCAGUUUUGCUCUGCUGAGCUGGUUUCUCCCACAGGCGCUCACCCUGCAAUUUUCAAAUAAACUUUUG